CAACACAGCCAAAAAUAAAUAAAUUAUUUAUUUAUCUUUUUUUUUUUUUAAAAAAAAAGAAGACCUGAAAAGAGCUGCUUAUAUUUAAAUGCAUUGCAGGAAGGGGAAUUUUUAACAGUCAGCCUUUCUUACUAGUGUUAUUUUCGCCUUGCUUUCAUGAGACUGUCGUCCAAAUGCAUACUUUGACAAAGCCAAGGCAUUGAAAAAAAGAGACCCAUCAGUCCAAAAUUGUCUAAUUCCCAUGGCUACAAUCUACUUGUAUGUGAACUCAGAAAAUCCUAGCGUGGACUAAAAUAUCAUUUCUAGCAUGACACUUUAUUUCAACAGGAAUAUUUAUAAGUUAGGGAAAUCCAGGAAGCUCUAUGAACUUAAGAUCAUCAACCCCUUCAAAUACCCCUGGGGUACACAUACUCCAUGUUAAAGGCCACUGUUCUAACUUAGCAAGUCAAGUCAACCAGAAUCUUGUUUGCAUUGAAGCAUUAGACCUUCUGGGCAUAACUUAGUAGGGUACCUCAGGUCAGAGGGUUGGACUCCCAGACCUCAGAUCCAAGACAGAGGCUGGGCUCCCCUCCCUGGGCCUGCCUCCACCCAAGAGUUCCCAAUGUCAAGGAGAGGACCUGAGAGCCACCUCCUGCCUCUUCUGGUCAUAAGCCCAGAUCACAGAAGAGGAAAUUUCUGAGUGCAGCAUCAGUGGGGUCCUUGUGGUUCUCUGCGACCAUGUCCCCAUGGAACUCUUAAUAUACUGUUAACCGGAGAGACCCCAGAACCGACCAAGCCCAUCCACUUUAUGCAGUGUAAGGCAGACCUGCAAUCACCAAGAAGAAAACGUUCUCCUUCAAUAUCCAGCUGGCAGCAGUAGGAGAAGCAGUGAAGAGAAAUGUGCACUCUUUAAUUAUCAAUGGCCCCCAGAUGCCCAGAGUCUCUGCAACCAUCCAACCCCUCCAGGAUUGGGACAGAUGUUGGAAAGACACCAGAAAGGAUGCAGAUAAAAUAAAUUCAUACAAAAAGCCACAUGAGGGCCAGGCGGCAGGUACAGAUUCUCAGGGCUUUGUCUGCUUAGUGUGCUUUGGGGUAACUAAGUGCUGGGUGUGGCCCCAUGAGGCCCGACCAGAGGGACUUUGCUAACUGUGUGGAGGCAGCCUGCAUGCAUCACAGCAAGAAUUGAGUCUAGACGUGCAGCGCUCCCUGCCUGGAAUCUUGUCAGAGAGGAGCGUGUGGUAUCGACAACCUGUUUGUUGCCUCCAAUCUUUGAUUUUCUCAUCAGAGGCCCCCAGCUGGCUCCCCACAUCUGAAGGCAGCCAACAGAAAUCAAAGGGAUCCUGUGCGCACUUUACGAGAAAGGAAUUCUGUCCACGCCGGCCACAUUCACCCAAACUGACCCACGUAGACCCAGCUAAAGAUUUGUCAGGGCUUGGGGAGGAAAUGAAAUGAAGUUCAAUGGAAUCAAAGUAGCCUGAGUGGUGUGAAGUGAGCUGAUGUCAGCAGUGGUUCCCCACGCAGCUUGCGACCGUCUCCCAUAGCACAUCUCCUUGGACUGGCGGCACAGGCACAGGAAGGAGCAAUGGGGUUAAGUGGAUAAGAAGGAAUGGUGGUUAAGCGCCUAAGGUAACAGAUUGGAGUCAUCUUGAAUCAUAGAUGACCAGCGGUGAAGACCACCUGGUACAAUGAUGGUCCCUCUUGUUAAGGAAGAAGCAGUGAAAAACUGUGAAAGCUCCAACCUUGACGAGAGAGUAGGAAAUACGUCUCCGCUUUGACAGGAACAAUGUGUGACAUGAAAGACCUCAGAUGCUGUGCAGGUUUGUGACGGUUCUUCAGAAGAAAGCACCUCCUGCCCGUUCUGUUCAAUGCCAGUCCAGAUGAAGACACUGAGGCACAGGGAGGUGAAACAGUGUCCCACAUUCGUUAACUCGCGGGAGGUGAGGCUGGGCCACCAACCCGGGCAACCUGGCUCCAGACUCCAAGCUCUUCACAGCCACCUGGCUGUGCCCCUCGGUGCUGCCCACUUCUCGAGCGGGGCCUGACCCAUCCGUAGAAUAUGGAUCAUGUCAACCUUGCAGCCUUGCUCUGAGGACCAGAUACAAUAAAGAUGUCUGAUGUGUGUUAAGUCCGAGAAUCAUGACCACAAAGAAGGCUGGAGAAUGUUUCUGCUUUGUAAUAGCUCUCAUGGGUCAUGUCUAAGGAAAAGGUCCUGAGGCCAGAAGGCAGAGGUCCAGGUCUGGCUCAGCCAUUAUCCAAGAAACCCUGGGACCUUUGGCCUCCCUGGAACUCAGCGUCCUCCGCAGCAGCAUGGAGGUCAUCCAGGCUCCUCUGCCUGCCUCUCUGCAUGGUUAUGAGAACAUGACGCGAGGAUGGAUGUAACAAUUUUCUGAGAAUUUCAAAGACCGUUCCGAAGUUCAUGCUUAGGAACCAAAGCCAGGUUUACCUCCUUCCCCAGCUAAAGAAAUAUCCAUCCUGGUAGGCCAGGCACUGCCAAGUGCUGGCCUCCUUGGAGUUCAAUCGCCUGUCUGGUCAGCAAACAUUCCUGCAUCACAGGUGGCAAGGGACAAGUUAAGUCGCAGAAGACUGGCUGACGAAUAGUUGCCAAAGCCACCGAGAGCAGAAGCAGUACGGUCUUCUCCCCAGAGGACUGUGCUCGUGCUCCCCUACACCUCCUUGAGCUGCGUCCAGAGAGCACUUGGCGCCCAUUCUGUCUAGAACAGGCCCAGGGAGGAGGUAAGUUGUGCAGCCAGCCAGGGACCAGGAGAGCCUGGGCAGGACCCUUGCCUCCUGACUUCCGAGAGCUGCCUCCGCCCCCUGCGCCUCUCCAGGGACUGAUGGAUGAGGCCAUGGUGGGCGGUGCUUGGCCUCCUGCUGUCUCCUGUUGCUAAAGUAACUGAGUGAGAUGAAAGAGAAACAAGCCACGUGACCUUGCUGCCUCCACCCAUGCAUCUAGACAGCCCCUGUCUCAGCCAGAGAGUCACAGUCAGGCCAGUCGAUCCGGGCUGAGCGUGGUUUUGGGGUCAGGGACCCCCUCCCCGAGGAGAAAUGCCUGAGCUGGGUGGCAGCCGAUAUUCUCUGAACACUGUUCUCGAGCAGACAAGAUGUUGAAGCGGGGGUGGGUUGGGGGGCAGAGGUUGAGGGAUCAAAAUGAUUUGAGAGUGCGGCUGCCAGUAUGUCACAUAGCUGGAAUUGUGCGAGGCCUAGGAUCUAGCUGCCUGUCCUUGGUUUACUCAGGGAAUCUAUAGAACGAGAGGGCAGAGGGCAUGGCCUCUAACCCUCACCUUUGAAAUCUGUGUCUCUAGCUUUCCCGCUUGCCCCCAGGAUGGGCCCUCCCAAGCUUUCAGAUA